rnacentral:lncRNA from 1 species
UUAGCGGCGGCGGCGGCGGCGGACGACAUGAUGGCCGCCUGCCGUCAACAAGAGAGGAGGCGGCCGGGGGCUGGGUAGGUCGGUCGACUCGUAUCGUAUUCGUAUAUAUAAAGCAGUGCUGUACGAUCGAGGACACAUAUGCACAUUGGACCAUUAUUGGGCUUUUAUUAGCUGAUGAGAGCUGUACGCGUUAGGCUGGGCCAGGAUUCUGGGUGUUUUUUUUUUAUUUUAUGAAAAUGGAUCGGACAAAAACAUAGAGCUACUUGUUUUUUCCUAAGAUGAAAACAAAACAAUCAAAAUUAUAGGUAGUUUUUACUUCUGAAAAUUCGAUUAUUGAUGUGGUAUGCAAAUUUAUUUAUACAUAUAAUACAUUAUUAUGGAUGCAUUUUUUCUACUCCUCCGAAUAGUUACUUUCAUCUUCAAUAAACCACAUUGUGUAUACGUGCAUACUCAUUUAUCAAUUUGAGUACGUAAAUACUCAUUUUAAGAUACUCCAA